rnacentral:rRNA from 1 species
AGAGUUUGAUCAUGGCUCAGGGCGAACGCUGGCGGCGUGCCUAACACAUGCAAGUCGUACGUGAAAGCCCUCCUUCGGGAGGGUGAGUAGCGUGGCGGACGGGUGAGUAACGCGUGGGUAACCUGCCCUCAGGACUAGGGAUAACCCCGGGAAACUGGGGAUAAUACCGGAUAAGACCACAUCCCACCCUUAGGGGAUGGGGUUAAAGGUGGCCUCUGCCCUUCGGGGUAUGCUACCGCCUGAGGAUGGGCCCGCGUCCCAUCAGCUUGUUGGUGAGGUAACGGCUCACCAAGGCUGUGACGGGUAGCCGGCCUGAGAGGGUGGCCGGCCACACUGGCACUGAGACAAGGGCCAGACUCCUACGGGAGGCAGCAGUGAGGAAUAUUGGGCAAUGCCCGAA